CACCUGGUAGUGUAGCGGUAAGCACGGAAGACCGCUGGCGGAACCUCCCCUUCAGGUUAGAAUUCGAUUCCUGCCCAAGUCAACUUGGGGUUUUAAGAGGUUACUUAGGAUGUGACAGGGCGGCAUUAGAAGUCCGGGCAGUAUCAAAAAAUAAUAAUAUAAAAACAAUCUCUCCUGGAUGCUGCCCCUACACUCCUAGGUAGUGUAAAGUGACACUACGCACACGGCGGUUUGAAGGCCCGGUUCGAAUCCGGGGCAGGUGG